UUCUAAGCUUUGCGAUAUCAUCAAGUUCAUCCCGUGCUUUGUCGCUUGACAAGCGCUUGACAGACAAAAUGUCCACUUGUGAUUAUACGCGUAGCGUUCGAGACAACUGCCGAUUAGCAGACAACAAGCAACAAGUUCUAGAACCUACGCCUCACUGACUUAAUAGAGUAUGUUACCAUCCAGUUUUUGACCAGCAACAACGGCAACAACCAGCAGCAGCGGCAGCUACACGUGGUCGAGAAGAGAUACUGGUAAUACAACUAUGAGCGCGUAUUUUAGACCAACAACCUCUCGACCUUUUAAAAUAACAAAAGCAAUAGCCAUCCAAGCAUUGUCCCUGCAAAACACAUUGUUUGCCAGCGGAGC
rnacentral:lncRNA from 1 species